UUAUAAAAAAAAAUAAUUAAAAGAAAAUUAAAUGAGAUCAUUAAAUUUAAAUAAUUUGGCGGUAUUUUAAAUAGUUAGAGGAAUUUGUUAGUUAAAUGAUACUCCACGAAUGGAAUGUCCUGAUGUAGUUUUUAUGUAUUGUUGUAUAAAAAUUAUUUUAUAAGAAUAAUAAUUAAUAUAUUUAAAAAAAUUUGAAUUCAAAUCAAAAUGUAGAAUUGUUAGGAUUAAAUGAAUUACAGUUUAAUAAAAUAUUAGAAUUAUUUUUUUAAUUAGAAUAAUAAAAGAGGAUUUAAAAGUAAAUUUUAAUAAAUAUUUAAAUUGAAACUUUAAUUAAAAUAUG
rnacentral:rRNA from 1 species